rnacentral:lncRNA from 1 species
GUUAGAGUUUAUUCAUUGGAUGAAAACCUAAAACCAUUGCAAAAAGAAAUUACCUUAACUUUUAUAGAUCCAGAAGGGUCAGAAGUUGCUGAGACAACAAAAAAAAAUUUUACUGGAAUUAUGAGUUUUCCUGGCUUCAAGAUUCCAUCUAAUCCUAAGUAUUUUAAAUGAUUUGUUGGUACAGUUGUUUCUCUUAAAAGCAGUGAAGGUAUGGCUUAUGGACAAUUAAAGCUAAAUACAAAGAGGACUUUACAACAACAGGAACUGCAUAUUUUGAGAUUAAAAAUCAUGGUUUACAUUCAGUGAAACCACACUUCUUUAUCUUAGUAGAACUAGAGAAUUUCUUCAUUAGCCAUAAAAUCUUUGAGGACUUCAAGAUUACUAUAAAACCUAGUGGAUUGAUGGAGUUGCACAAAUCAUUAAC